rnacentral:misc_RNA from 1 species
GUCCCGAUGACGUUACCACCGGAUUGCUCAUGCUACUGCCACCAAGCGCCAAGGGCUAAACCCGCUUUGCUCUGGCAGUUAAACUACUUUUCGUGUCCUUGUAUCUGUGUGUACAGAGAGAAUGUGGUUAUUUAGCAGGAGAGGACCAUCUGGGUUCUCAGCUUCUUCCAUUGCGGAGGAAGUGACGCAAGGGAUUGAUGGGUCUGGUCUCACAGCCAUUGUCACAGGAGCAUCAGGUGGUAUUGGCUUCGAAACAGCACGUGUCCUUGCAUUGCGCGGUGUUCAUGUGAUUAUGGGAGUACGGAUUAUGGAAGCAGGAAGGGAGGUUAAAGAAUCAAUAAUUAAGGAAAACCCUGUGCAAAAGUUCAUGCCAUGGAAUUGGAUCUAAGUUCAUUGGCAUCUGUAAGGAAAUUUGCUGCUGACUUCAAAUCCUUGGAUCUUCCCCUGAACAUUCUCAUUAACAAUGCAGGAAUCAUGGCAACACCUUUCAUGCUUUCCAAGGACAAUAUGGAGCUUCAAUUUGCAACAAACCACAUUGGUCACUUUCUUUUGACAAAUCUACUAAUGGACACCAUUAAAAAGACAGCAAGUGGAAGUAGGAAAGAAGGGAGGAUUGUGAAUGUCACAUCACGGCGUCACAAGUUCUCAUAUCCAGAGGGGAUUCGUUUUACUAAAAUUAAUGAUUCAUCAGGGUAUAAUUGUCUAUCUGCAUAUGGUCAAUCGAAGCUUGCAAAUAUUUUGCAUGCCAAUGAACUUGCAAGGUGCCUACAGUUAACAAGGACUCAGCAAAAGGGAAAGAAAUACUGAGUCAAGACCAGGAGACAAAUAUCAGAGGUAGAGAGAUAGACAGGGCAGCAGACUAGGCUGCUAGUACAUCCAGCGAGAGAUUAUCGGGUAUAAUGAGUAUACCACAUUUUGCAUUUUGUACUGUAAUGAAUGACCACUGUAUGUACAUAUUGUUUUGGUUUGAGCAGUUGUAAAUUCAAAUUGUAACUUGAGGUUGUAAAAUAAUUAUGAGUUAUUUGGCUUGUAAAAAUUGUGUUAUAUCUUUGUAUCUUAGUCUUUGAAAAUCACUGUGGAUUUGACUUGAGAAAUGUGUUGUGUUGAUAAAAAUGUUGGAGUUGAGAUUUGAAAAAAUAUUGAAGUGCUUUUUACAGGUUUUUCUGAAGAACUGUUUUAUCCAAAAUACAGAUGGCACUCUGCCAAAAUUUUUACAGAAAUUCCAAAUAAUUCAAAUGUGUUAGUUCUAUCACUUCAGUUCAAAAAGGUUUUUAACACCUGUAAAUAGUGCUCACCACUGUAAAAGAAGUAAGAAAAGUUUUUAAAAUCCCUUGUAGUGUAUUUAAUGGGUUAUCAGUAGACGAAGUUGGUAAUUCAUUAGGUAUACUACGGGAUCAUGUUAUGCCUUACGGAGGGGUAAGGUGUGACAUAAUUAACUUGACUUGCAUAUAAUAAUCAGCUAAACUCUAAUAGUCAGCUAAGCUAAACCAUUAUAAAAGCAGUGUUCUUUGGACAUGUGGACAAUUGAAAUGACUCCAUUCAACAACAAUAAAGGAAACAGGUAAAACACUGUACCACUGAUAACAAAUCACAUGUGCAUCUCUCAAAAUGCUGGCUAAGUAAGUAGGUGCACAAAAACAAAAUAGAUGUCUUCACAAAGUGAACUUCUUAAGUUCUUUCUCUUUAAAAGAAUAAAAGGAAUGAAGGGGAGAAUGUGGGUUUUCAAAUAAAUGCAACCACCAUAAUAUAUUAAUAGUAAGGGAUUCCCAUCUGAUAUUCAAAAUCUUCUCAUGCUCAAGCUCCAUACUAUAGCUGACCAAAAUAUUCAUGAUAAGGGCUAUGCCAUAAUCAAUUGUGAGUAUCCCUUAUUGCUACCCAUGGAUUUUGGCUCCUACUAAAUACUAGUAAGAUAACAAUAAAUGGUGAAUGAAAUGCAAAGAGAAACCAUUUCUAUUCCAUUCCGCUAAACAUCAAAGCAUAAACAAAAGCAACAAAAUGAAAAUUUAAUACCAACCCGCAUAUUUCCAAUGAG